ensembl:antisense Ccdc34os coiled-coil domain containing 34, opposite strand
AGUGCUAGUGUGCUGAUAUGUGGAAGGAGUGACUGAUUUAGAGUAGGAAAUCAGCAGAAAUCAUUAUUAGAUUAAUGUGAGAAAGUGGGUCAAGGCCUCAGGGACAUAGAAAGUGCAGCUUCUCAGCAAGGAAGACAUGGCAAAGCUGGGCCACUGCCUAAGUUCUCAGGACCUUGUACGGCAAUGACCUUCAGUACACACUGCACAAAUCCGUUGAAUGAACAAGCUGAGAUGAAGGAUGCGUUUUGCCAGGAGAGACUAUCGGUUUAGUCUGAUCCACAGUGAACUUGGAGAUGCUGGAAUAUAAAACGAAGCCAUGUUCAGAUCCCAGAUUAUUUAUCUGCCUUGCUGCCACCAGAAUCAAUGUGUCUGAUUGUUUUCUUGGGAGAAUGAAGAAGGUAUUGCUAAUAAAACACAAGGUAAAUGCCACAUAACUUGCUACUCAUCAGUAACACCCAUGCACUGCAGAGAAAACUGUUCAAACUAGACUUCUCUGGGACUCUACAAUCAACCACUGCUGACUCCCUGUCUUCUCUCCGUAGUUAUUAAUAACCUAUGAUCUAUUGGUCUACUCUCCUGCCCAUCCUUCCCUUCCCCUAAGACCCACCUAUUUGAGCAGACUUGCCAAUAAAGAUCGUUUUCUCUCAGUA